GGGGAAGUGGCGGCGUGCCUAUACAUGCAGUCGAGCGAAUGGAUUAAGAGCUUGCUCUUAUGAAGUUAGCGGCGGACGGGUGAGUAACACGUGGGUAACCUGCCCAUAAGACUGGGAUAACUCCGGGAAACCGGGGCUAAUACCGGAUAACAUUUUGAACCGCAUGGUUCGAAAUUGAAAGGCGGCUUCGGCUGUCACUUAUGGAUGGACCCGCGUCGCAUUAGCUAGUUGGUGAGGUAACGGCUCACCAAGGCAACGAUGCGUAGCCGACCUGAGAGGGUGAUCGGCCACACUGGGACUGAGACACGGCCCAGACUCCUACGGGAGGCAGCAGUAGGGAAUCUUCCGCAAUGGACGAAAGUCUGACGGAGCAACGCCGCGUGAGUGAUGAAGGCUUUCG
rnacentral:rRNA from 1 species